UCCCUGGUGUCUCAGCUGAUAAAGAACCCGUCUGCAAUGCGGGAGACCUGGGUUCAAUCCCUGGGUUGGGAA
rfam:TPA: Bos taurus chromosome 15, whole genome shotgun sequence.